UACGAAGGGGCUAGCGUUGCUCGGAAUCACUGGGCGUAAAGGGUGCGUAGGCGGGUCUUUUAAGUCAGGGGUGAAAUCCUGGAGCUCAACUCCAGAACUGCCUUUGAUACUGAAGAUCUUGAGUUCGGGAGAGGUGAGUGGAACUGCGAGUGUAGAGGUGAAAUUCGUAGAUAUUCGCAAGAACACCAGUGGCGAAGGCGGCUCACUGGCCCGGUACUGACGCUGAGGUGCGAAAGCGUGGGAGCA
rnacentral:rRNA from 1 species